rnacentral:lncRNA from 7 species
UGUAAACGAAAAUCAUGCAGUUUCUCUUCAAAAACCCCCAUUUAACCAGAAGAAAAUGCAAUUUCUCUUCGAGAAUCCCCCAUUUAACCCGAAAAUGAUGCAUUUUCUCUUCAAGAAUCCCUGGUUUAUCUCGAAUAUCACACAUUUUCUCUUCAAAAAUCCCCUAUUUAACCCGAAAAUCACGCCUUUUCUUUGCAAAUAUCCCCCACUUAACACAAAAUCAUGCCUUUUCUCUAUGAAAAUCCCCCAUCUAAAAAGAAAUCAUGCAUUUUCUCUUGGAAAUCCCCCACUGAAGUGAAAAUCACGCAUUUUGCCUUCGAAACCCCCAUUUAACCUGAAACGAAGCAUUUC